CGUNAUCGAUGNAGGCCUUCGGGUCGUAAAGCUCUGUUGUUAGAGAAGAACAAGUACGAGAGUAACUGCUCGUACCUUGACGGUACCUAACCAGAAAGCCACGGCUAACUACGUGCCAGCAGCCGCGGUAAUAGGCGC
rnacentral:rRNA from 1 species